GUUUUUUAAAGUUAUUUUGUGUUGUAGCCUACCGUCGCAGUUGUUGUUUGCCAAACUCAUUAAAAAAUGCAUUAAACGAUGUAGUAUGUCAACGCGAAGGCAACAGCCAACACAAAGUCAUUCAAACGAGAAAUUGUAAAAAAAAUUGUGUCGUGUGUUAUCAAUCGAAUGAAUUUAGUACAUGCAGCUAAACAUUGAUCUUUGAGAAUAGUUUUACUGAACAAUUCAUUUCUGGAGACCUCAAAAAUCUGUGGUUUAUGAUUAUUCAUUCUUUUCUAAAAUGUUAUUGAAUUUCAUUGUAUGAAUAGCUGUCGGUUUCGGGAGUUGCCGUUCUACAUCGCAAGGGUCUCUGAGGGGCUGUUUAUAUGAGACGUGCGGUCUGGCCCUAUAUUAGCCGGGCUAAAGCCCCCCCCCCCGGUCAAACGAAAAUGAAAGUUGAUGAGAGCUGGCAGUCACGAAUUGUUACAGUCGACAUUUCGAGGUCUAGAUUAACAAAAUGUAGAUUUCAUGAGUGUUUCAACUAUGUUUUAACUUCAAUAGAAUACAUGAUAGUGUUGGGAAAGCAUUAAGAACAGCUAACCAAGGUCACGUGACUGUCAACUCUCGUUUGAUCCAGGUUUAAGACUUCAACAAACCAAAAUUGACAAGAAAAACUCGUUGACGAGUUUAAUAGUGCGAGGUUUGUCACAAAAGUCAAAUUCAUUCUUUUUUCCUGCACAAAUUUCCGAGUUAAAACUACUUAAACAACAAGCACAAUUUAGAAGUUUAGAAAUCAAAAUUUGUCGAGAAAAAUAUCAAUUCAGAAAAAUAUUGUCAAUUCUAUAACAAUGUUUUUUGCUAGCACGGUUAAGUGACUUUGCAUGGAUAAAUUUCAGUCCAUGAUGUGCCCCGGUUGAACGCGCGGACUGGUCCAGUUUUCAUUGAAAGUGAAUUGUUUUGUAAAGAAAAUUUGUGUGAAGGCGAACGCCUCGUUUAACCGGGUCAACCAGCCAGUCGGACUCAUAUAAACAGCCUCUAUAACGAACUCAAAGAUAAGUUACUGUUGAGAAACAAAUAAUGAUUUUAUAAUGCGUGCUUUUUACUCAAAGGGGUCCGUCAUGACAGUUCAAAGCGUACGAGAUUUUGAAAUCAAGUUUAUUUCUGAGCUGAUUUUCUGAUCUUCGGCUGAUUUCAACAUUUCCUGAAGAUACCAAUUACAGCAUUUUUGGUAGAUUUCAAUGCCUGAAAAUACGUUUAAAACAUUGAGAACAAAAUACUGUUUUAUUUAUGAAAUAUCCGCUCUGAAAUACGCAAAAGUGAAACAAAGCUAGUUCUUGCAAUAUGGUGAUAUGUUUAGCCUUUUCUAAGAACUUACGUGUUUUCUGUAUGAUUUCAAAAUCAUCUGAUUUCUACUCAGUUAAUUAAAAUUUCUGCAUGGUUUUUAACCUGAGUUCUGAGUGGAGUGUACGCGAGAUAUCUGCCGUGACCGACCCCUCAUUUUGUUGCAAUACAAGAAUGUAUGUAAUUGUAUUCGAUACUGUACUACUAAUCAGCCAUUCACAAAGUAACAUGCGAACUUUAAGAAAAGUUAAGUAAUGUUUAAAACCUACAAUCAUUUUCAAAAGUUGUUUUCGGUUUUAGAUCAUCAGCGGAUAAAUGCAAAUUAUUACAAGCAUUUUUAUCUCCCGUCCCCCCUCAUUAAAUGUUGUUUAGCGAAUUCCAGACACUGUAUUACAUCAAAAUAAGAUGCUAACUGAGACCUAACAUUGAACAGGGAGGGGGAGCAAAGUUUUUCAAAAUAAUAUGUAGUUGAGGCAUCUGUCUCAACACAUUUGAAAAUAAUUGUAGUACAAGGUCUGGGAGUGACAGAAAAACCGUUGUUGAAAAACUUCUUGAAAACAGCUCUAAUUUGUUUUUACUGUCACCGUAUUAGAUCAAGCAUUGUUUAACUUAAUGUCGCUUAUAUAUCAACGUUUGAUGUCCUCAAAAUUUGAGCUUGCUUAAAGUUGAUGAGAGUUGACCAAAUACUCGAUGUUUGAUGAUGAUAGUUUACGAGAGCUGCAACUCUAAUCAACUUUUAUUCUCGUUUGCCAAUUAAAGGACAUUGGGUUAAUAUUAUAUAUUAACUGAAUGAUCAAAAAGUUUCUUUUGGUUUAUGUGGUUAAAUUAAUACUCUCAGAAGUUUUCGACAUUUCAAAUUUGCAUGCCAUGACGUUUUUCAUUCAAUUCAUUAACAAGCCAAAAAAAACUAAAAUAUUCUUUAAGACAUAUUAAAAAGUUUAAAAAAACUUUCAUUAAGUUUUGAAAGUUCUUUCUAACGAUAUUAAACUACAUGUCAACUUGUCCUAUAUGAACUUAAACUUUACAUGUCGACCAAUGUCCUUUUAAAAGUUUCAAACUAAGAUGGCCGGCUAAAUGUGGACAAAGUCUUUAGUAUGCUCUUUUAGUAAAGUAAAAUGAAUUUAUUACCACAAUAAUAGUAGGAUUAUGCAUUUAUUGCUAUUGUAUAUAGAGUUUCAUUAAGUAAUUAUUGAUCUUAUUGUAAUAUAUAGCGUCCGUUGUAAUGGACAAUCCUGUUGAAGCGAAGUUGAUCAUUGUAGUUUUACACUUUUACUAUGAUAAAUAUAAUCAUCGAAAAAAGUUUCCAUUAAUUGUAAAAGAAAUGAAAAAUUAAAGAUCUGUCACAUCG
rnacentral:lncRNA from 1 species